rnacentral:rRNA from 1 species
AUACGUAGGGGGCGAGCGUUGUCCGGAAUGAUUGGGCGUAAAGGGCGCGUAGGCGGCGCGGUAAGUCUGGAGUGAAAGUCCUGCUUUCAAGGUGGGAAUUGCUUUGGAUACUGCCGCGCUUGAGUGCAGGAGAGGUUAUCGGAAUUCCCGGUGUAGCGGUGAAAUGCGUAGAGAUCGGGAGGAACACCAGUGGCGAAGGCGGGUAACUGGACUGCAACUGACGCUGAGGCGCGAAAGUGUGGGGAGCAAACAGGAUUAGAUACCCUGGUAGUCCACACUGUAAACGAUGAAUGCUAGGUGUAAGAGGUAUCGACCCCUUUUGUGCCGGAGUCAACACAAUAAGCAUUCCGCCUGGGGAGUACGGCCGCAAGGCUAAAACUCAAAUGAAUUGACGGGG